rnacentral:misc_RNA from 1 species
GAAAUGCGAUAAGUAGUGUGAAUUGCAGAAUUCAGUGAAUCAUCGAAUCUUUGAACGCACAUUGCGCCCUUUGGUAUUCCAAAGGGCAUGCCUGUUCGAGCGUCAUUUGUACCCUCAAGCUUUGCUUGGUGUUGGGCGUCUUGUCUCUAGCUUUGCUGGAGACUCGCCUUAAAGUAAUUGGCAGCCGGCCUACUGGUUUCGGAGCGCAGCACAAGUCGCACUCUCUAUCAGCAAAGGUCUAGCAUCCAUUAAGCCUUUUUUCAACUUUUGACCUCGGAUCAGGUUGGGAUACCCGCUGAACUUAAGC